GACGUAGGGCGCGAGCGUUGUCCGGAUUUAUUGGGCGUAAAGAGCUCGUAGGCGGCUUGUCGCGUCGUCUGUGAAAUCCCGUGGCUCAACUGCGGGCUGGCAGUCGAUACGGGCAGGCUGGAGUUCGGUAGGGGAGACUGGAAUUCCUGGUGUAGCGGUGAAAUGCGCAGAUAUCAGGAGGAACACCGGUGGCGAGGGCGGGUCUCUGGGCCGAUACUGACGCUGAGGAGCGAAAGCGUGGGGAGCGAACAGG
rnacentral:rRNA from 1 species